AUUGAACGCUGGCGGCAGGCCUAACACAUGCAAGUCGAGCGAGAGGAGGACGGGUGAGAAAUGUAUGGGGACUGCCCGAUAGAGGGGGAUAACUACUGUAAACGGUAGCUAAUAACGCAGACUAUCGGAUCGCCCAUAUGGGAUUAGCUAGUAGUUGAGGUAAUGGCUCACCUAGGCGACGAUCCCUAGCUGGUCUGAGAGGAGGAUCAGCAACACUGGGACUGAGACACGGCCCAGACUCCUACGGAGGCAGCAGGAGGGAAUCUUGGACAAUGGACGCAAGUCUGAUGGAGCCAGGCCGCGUGUAUGAAGAAGGUCUUCGGGUUGUAAAAUACUUUCAUUCGAGAGGCGUUACCGACAGAAGAAGCACCGGCUAACUACGUGCCAGCAGCCGCGGUAAUUC
rnacentral:rRNA from 1 species